rnacentral:rRNA from 1 species
UACGUAGGGCGCAAGCGUUGUCCGGAACUAUUGGGCGUAAAGAGCUCGUAGGCGGCUUGUUGCGUCGGAUGUGAAAGCCCGGGGCUUAACCCCGGGUCUGCAUUCGAUACGGGCAGGCUAGAGUUCGGUAGGGGAGAUCGGAAUUCCUGGUGUAGCGGUGAAAUGCGCAGAUAUCAGGAGGAACACCGGUGGCGAAGGCGGAUCUCUGGGCCGAUACUGACGCUGAGGAGCGAAAGCGUGGGGAGCGAACAGG